CGGGAGUUAGCUCAGCCUGGUAGAGCGCUUGCUUUGGGAGCAAGAUGCCGUAGGUUCGAAUCCUAUACUCCCGACCA
rnacentral:tRNA from 1 species